CUUCGAUUAACAACUUGCUGGAGGCUAUUCAAAUUAGCCACACCGUGGGAUGUAAGGAGCUCUCUGAUUGGUUGGUCGGACACAGGCUGUCUGCCAGCCUGGAUUUUUCUAGCUCAUAGCUUCUCCCUGCUACGAAGCGUGUGUGCUUGUACAAAGGCCGUUCAGCGUCGGGAUUUACACUCGGCUCAACACGGAUAUGUGAAGAAUGAACGGAGCCUGCAGCGAAACGGAGAGCCAACCUCUGACUGAGUGCCUGUCUACACAUUCUGACCACCUGUUGAAGGGCUGUUUGAUGACGAUUUGGACUCCUCUGGGAGAUGAGGACACACCCACAUCUGUUCCAUACUGCAGCCAUUGAUGGUGUUACAGCUCUGAGUCAGCUUUGGGCCAUCAGACGCACACACUGGAAAACCAGCACCUGGACUUCAUGCAGGAGAGACGGCCUCAGUGAUAAUUCAUCAGCAGCUGUGGAGAGAUGCAUUUGAAUAUCUUCUGGUUCCACUUUUCCUUACCUGGAAGCUGAGUAUUGCUGAUUUCUGACAAGGACACAAACCUCAGUGCUUAUCAUGGGUGCUACAUCCUCUGUGCAGCAAUUCCAGAGAAAACGAGAGAGCAACGACCACUCAUUAAGACCAGCCAGAAAUCUGUCCCUUUCUGGCAGCUGUGGAAACUUCCAAUAAGAAAGUUUGCAUUCUUAGAACAAUGCUGGAUCAUGUGUGAUGUGUCAUCAUAUGAGGAUAUUACAUUUUGCCUUAAUUCUGCUCAAUUAAGUGUUUUGAUCGUUGAUCCAGUAUGGCAGCUUUGUGUUGUGCUGCAAGUUAAAACCCAUUGUCCUCAUGAGCACAGCAUCUAACAACUCUCCUUAAAAAAAAGUCGAUUGACUUUAACUGGACACAAUGGUUUCCAGUGGGAGAUGCAUUCAUCACUCAUCCGUGACACUGGAGAAGUCACCUGGAUGAGUGAUAAAACAAUUUUCCAUGGAAAAUCCAGAGGAACUAAACUUUGUUUUUGUUUCUUUGGGCUCAAUUUUGCCUGAGGCUGAAAUUGAGCCCAAAAUGUUUUCUUCUUUCAGAAGAAAACAUUUUGCCAAUAAUCAGAUAAAAAGAUUGUUGAACCAGGUGGUAUUCUCUGGAGUUUAAGACCAAAACUGAACUCAGUGAAUUGACAUUAGACUGGAAUUCAUAAGAUGAAUAGAAAUACUGCUGAAGCUGAAUGAUAUGUAUGUAUGUGUGUGUGUGUGUGUGUGUGUGUGUGUGUUCUUUGUUUUCUCCAAUUCACCAGGUCUGUAAAGUUCAGUAUGACUGUGGUACAUGAUACAAAAGAAUAAAUACAGAAGAA
ensembl:lncRNA